GGUCGCUGGCGACCCACCCGCUCAGGUUCAGGUUGACCUCUCCCAUGCUAUUGAUUGAUUCGAUUGUUCCUUGCCAUGCUACUCCUCCGGCGCGAGCAACCAAAACCUUGUCCAUGUAAAUUUUGUUAGGCAUUCCAGUUGGUGCUGGGAGUUUUGGUUCUGCUGUUCUGAAUUUUCGGCCUGCAGCUCGUUUCCCAGAGGUUUCGAGGGGUUCAGCCCUGAAUCUGCUCCUGUGGUGAGAGAUGAAGCUGGUGCCGAGGGAGGUUUUUUGUUUUCGUCACUCCUUUGUUAUAUGGAAGAAGACUUCAUGGGAAAACAAUGGAGGGAGUUCCAGCCAGUGGCAGAGAGAGAAGAGAAUUUUACUGGACUAUCAAUACUUCUUCAUUGGUUCAACAGGGAGGUACUUGCUCCUAUAUAAGUAUGGAGGCUGUCAUGAUGCAGGCUAUUUCACCCUGGACCUCCAGAGAUUCCAGUUUGAGGGAGUGAACAUUUCAACACGGUGUCGAUUGUACUCACGCAUAUAGCAACUUCCCACCAUCGUUGUUAUCUACGGCGACGGUAUCAAGUGGCAAACUUUCAGUUGCGUCCUAGUUAUCUCCCAGCUUUCAUAAUUAUCA